ACCACCCCUUAAGAUGAGAACUGAGAACUAAUCUCAGCCCUUGAUCAAUUCAAUCCAACGGCCAUGAUCUCGCCCGACCAAAUCAAAAAAUAAUGGUAGAUUGGUAAUUUUGGCGAUUUGAAUGACAACCCCUCUUUCUCGAUUUUCAGCUUUCUUUAUUUCUCUCUCUUCCUUUCGAAUUUUCUCUCUCCCUGCAAAUCCUCUCAACCGACUUCAUCUUCUUCAAUGUCUUCAAUUUUCGUUGUUCCUGCAAUUGCUUAACCUUCUUGCGAUUUCAUCUCUCUCAAGUCGCGCAGGUAUUGAUUGAACUUCAGGUGUUCGUUAGGUGUUGGUUGGGAAAGCUAAAGAUUGCAAGCAGGCGGGUCAUGAGGAUUGUAGUUGAGGGGCUGGCUGAUUGUGUGCUAAUAGGGAAGAAAUAGGAAGGGCAAGAAGAAAACCAAGGAGCCGGAAACUGAGGUUGAUUGAUCUUCAUAUGACAAUAGAUUCAGAACGUAGGACUAUGUCCUCACGUGCAAGGAUCAGAGUUUAACGGAGGUAUGUCCUUGUAAUAAACGAGAACUGAACUGAGUACCAAGGUUUCCAGUCAAAAUAAAAGGAUGGAUAGAAUUAUCGUAUAAAGGCUAAUAGGAGUAAUAGGUAUUCCGUACUCUCUAUCCUGUCUUUCCAUACGAAAUUGUGGGAAAGAUUGCAAA